UCUCACAGAACCUAGGACUACCAGCCCA
rnacentral:piRNA from 1 species